AUGGAUCUCCCCGGCGCCUCCCUCCGUGCUCCUCCCCCUCGCGGCCUCGGCGCGCUCGCCGUCUCGGCGGACGCCGUCAGGCUUAGCACCAUCACCGCCAUCCUCCGCGACCGAGACCACUAUGAAGUGACGGUUUGCACUGAUCCGGCGGCGGCCAUGGCGGUGCUCCGCGCGGGGAACAAGUUCGAGGUCCUGCUGGUCGACAUGCACUCCCUAGGCUGCGGCGCGCCGGCCUUAGAGCUCUUGGAGUGUGCCGUCGGCGAGAUGCACGUUCACACACAUGUUAUUUCGAAAAAUGGCGAUCGCUAUGGACCCCUAGAGAUGAAGGAUCUCGGUAUUAUCAGGAAUGCCAUCUACAAUGAAGCAACCAAUGGAUCUAAGUCACCGGAGGCCAUGCCGAACAGUCCAUGCAACAACUCACCGGUGGAGACAACACCCACAACAACAACCUUAGUAAUUUCAGGAAGGAGGGCAACAAGAAGGAGGAUGGGAAGGACACGAGUAAACGAUACAAACAGUCAGGAGCUGGAUGAAGUGAAUGUCAAGAAUGAGAAACAAAAACCGGUUGAGAAGCCAACGAAGGCCCGGGUCAUUUGGACUGACGAACUACACAAGAAGUUCGUGGAAGCACAUGACAAACUCCUCCCUGGAGAUGCUGUGCCGAAGAAAAUACUUAAGUUGAUGAAUGACCCUACACUCACUAGAGAGAACAUUGCCAGCCACCUUCAGAAACAUAGGAUGAAUCUCGAUCCUCUUCGUAAGGGCAAUACUGGAACAAGGAAUAAAAAAUUAACACCUCCCCAAGCAUCAUUGCUCUCUCCUAACUUGUCUCGGCAACAGGCUUCUUCUACAAUGAUGCAAUCUUUGUCUAGUGCAAACUUUCCGGAGAUUAUUACGACACAAGCUGUUGUUUGCAUGAACCAUAAUAUGAAUGAUUCAGGCAGUCAUCCGGUGAUACAGAUGAAAUCAUUUAAGGCAUCAGAAGAUAUGUACACCGGAGAUAAUGAAUCUACAAAAAAUAGCACAUGGUCUGGUGGUAAUUCAGAUAAUGCCGGCUGCCAGGAAAAUAGCAUCGAGUUUUCGAUAAAAGAGCCUAAGCUUUCGUGGGAUCAAGUGUAUUUCUACACCAAUGGUAACUAA
rnacentral:rRNA from 1 species